rnacentral:rRNA from 1 species
AUUGAACGCUGGCGGCAGGCCUAACACAUGCAAGUCGAGCGGAUGAAGGGAGCUUGCUCCUGGAUUCAGCGGCGGACGGGUGAGUAAUGCCUAGGAAUCUGCCUGGGAGUGGGGGAUAACGUCCGGAAACGGGCGCUAAUACCGCAUACGUCCUGAGGGAGAAAGUGGGGGAUCUUCGGACCUCACGCUAUCAGAUGAGCCUAGGUCGGAUUAGCUAGUUGGUGGGGUAAAGGCCUACCAAGGCGACGAUCCGUAACUGGUCUGAGAGGAUGAUCAGUCACACUGGAACUGAGACACGGUCCAGACUCCUACGGGAGGCAGCAGUGGGGAAUAUUGGACAAUGGGCGAAAGCCUGAUCCAGCCAUGCCGCGUGUGUGAAGAAGGUCUUCGGAUUGUAAAGCACUUUAAGUUGGGAGGAAGGGCAGUAAGUUAAUACCUUGCUGUUUUGACGUUACCAACAGAAUAAGCACCGGCUAACUUCGUG